CCAUCGGUGGUUCAGUGGUAGAAUGCUCGCCUGCCACGCCGCCGGCCCGGGUUCGAUUCCCGGCCGAUGCA
rnacentral:tRNA from 1 species